rnacentral:lncRNA from 1 species
GGUUGAUCUCGUUGCUGAGGAUGGCCUGAUCCAUCAGGACUGGUCAUCAUCUAGUAUUGUUGUUGAAGUAUAUAAUGAUCUCCUGGUCCUGCUCAUUUCACUUAGCAUCAGUUCGUGUAAGUCUCUCCAGGCCUUUCUGAAAUCAUCCUGUUGGUCAUUUCUUACAGAACAGUAAUAUUCCAUAAUAUUCAUAUACCACAAUUUAUUCAGCCAUUCUCCAACUGAUGGACAUCCAUUCAGUUUCCAGUUUCUAGCCACUACAAAAAGGGCUGCCACAAACAUUCGUGCACAUACAGGUCUCUUUCCCCUCCUCAUAAUCUCUUUGGGAUAUAAUCCCAGCAGUAACACUGCUGGAUCAAAGGGCAUGCACAGUCCGACAACUUUUUGAGCAUAGUUCCAAACUACUCUCCAAAAUGGUUGGAUUCGGGGAACACUAUUGUUCAAUAAGAAAUGAUCAGCAGGAUGAUUUCAGAGAGAGCUGGAGAGACAUAUUUAGUGAUGCUAAGUGGAGUAGAACCAACAGAACAUUGUACACAGCAACAAGAAAAUUAUGCAAUGAUCUAUUCUGAUGGACAUGGCUCUUUUCAAAAUGAGGUGAAUCAGGGCAAUUCCAAUAGAUUUGUGAUGAAGAGGGAGGAUUGUGAGCACUGAAUGUGAAUCACAACAUAAUAUUUCAUCUUGUUUGCUUUUUAUUAGGAUUUUGAUCUGAUUUUUUUUUCUUGUGCAGAAUGAUACUUGUGGAAAUAUGUAUAGAAGAAUUGCAUAUGUUUAGUAUAUAUUAGAUUACUUUCUCUUUAGGAGAAGGGGUGAAGGGAAAGGAGAGAGAAAAAUUGGAACUCAAGGUUUUGCAAGGAUGAAUGUUGAAAAGUAUCUUUGCAUGUAUUUUUUUUAAAAAGAAAACUUCAAUUUGGGAAAUAAAAUUGGGAAUCCUAGAGUAGCUCAGUGGCACAGUAGAUAGAGCACUGAACCUGGGAAUUAGGAAGACUUGAGUUCCAAUCCAGC